CCUACGGGGGGCAGCAGUGAGGAAUAUUGGUCAAUGGACGAGAGUCUGAACCAGCCAAGUAGCGUGAAGGAUGACUGCCCUAUGGGUUGUAAACUUCUUUUAUAUGGGAAUAAAACGUUCCACGUGUGGGAUUUUGUAUGUACCAUAUGAAUAAGGAUCGGCUAACUCCGUGCCAGCAGCCGCGGUAAUACGGAGGAUCCGAGCGUUAUCCGGAUUUAUUGGGUUUAAAGGGAGCGUAGGUGGAUUGUUAAGUCAGUUGUGAAAGUUUGCGGCUCAACCGUAAAAUUGCAGUUGAAACUGGCAGUCUUGAGUACAGUAGAGGUGGGCGGAAUUCGUGGUGUAGCGGUGAAAUGCUUAGAUAUCACGAAGAACUCCGAUUGCGAAGGCAGUUCACUGGACUGCAACUGACACUGAGGCUCGAAAGUGUGGGUAUCAAACAGGAUUGGAUACCCGUGUAGUC
rnacentral:rRNA from 1 species